rnacentral:lncRNA from 1 species
GCCAAAAAGAGAUAAAUUGUUGGAAAUGGUAUUAAAGAAAAUGAUCACAUUUUUCCUUGUCCUUCUCUUUUCUUCUCUUAAAAAUCCUGUAGAUUUUAUUAGUAAAUAGUUAUAAAAACAGAUUUAGAGGGCUCUUUGAGGUAAGUAUUUUUCUGUGGUCACUGCCAUGUAGAAAACCUGUGUCCAUAGAGUAGUAGCAAAAACCUAGACUUUGAAGGAUAGGGUGAUGGUUAUGGUUAGGGAUGAAAGAGUGUUCUAACAAGAGAACAGUGAACACAAGGAAGUCUUCAAAAUCUAACAGAAAACUUGCUUUUUUUCCAUGACAAAUUCAAACACAGUAUUCUAAUUUAUUGACCUGGAACUCAAUAAAUUAGAAUACUGUUUCUCUGUGAGCAAUAUUCCUGCUUCUGCACAGGAAGGACUAACCUAGAGAAUCACAAGACAUCUAGAGCACAGCUUUCAAGUUUUUCUAGAGUAAGACUUGUUUACCUGCUUUUCUAAAGGAUGCCUCCUACUACUCAAGUUUUAAUGUGCAUGACUAAUUGUAUUAUUGAUGUCAUAUGUGCUCCAAAUUAAUUUGCCAACACCCACACUGUUUUAUACUCUAUUUAAGUAGAUGAAUGCAAUGAUAAUGUACUUAGAUAUCACUAUAAUGAAAAAUUGAUGUAAGAUUUUUCCAAAUGUUCAUUCUUAAUUUAUAUACCUAUUUUGUCAGGCUUUGUGACAACACUUAAUGGACCUGGCACUGACCUGUACAGCACACUUUGAGAAGCACUCCUUUACCUUGGGAGAAUAGCACAAAACAGUUCUGACAUCUUUGGAUCUUUUGUUCUUCUUAUGUUUAAUUUUUUCAUUUAUAAUUUUUAAAUUGUUGGCUAUCAUCUCAGGAACAUUGUUGUCUCAGUUUUUAUAAUGUAAUUGUCAAUAUAGACAAUGAAUGAAGUUUGUCCAAGAAAGCUAAAC